UACGGAGGGUGCAAGCGUUAUCCGGAUUUACUGGGUUUAAAGGGUGCGUAGGCGGGCUUUUAAGUCAGCGGUGAAAUCUUCGGGCUCAACCCGAAAAUUGCCGUUGAUACUAUUAGUCUUGAAUUAAGUUGAGGUGGGCGGAAUGUGUCAUGUAGCGGUGAAAUGCUUAGAUAUGACACAGAACACCGAUUGCGAAGGCAGCUCGCUAAACUUAUAUUGACGCUGAGGCACGAAAGCGUGGGGAUCAAACAGG
rnacentral:rRNA from 1 species